AGCAGACCGCGGUAAUUCCAGCUCCAAUAGCGUAUAUUAAAGUUGUUGCAGUUAAAAAGCUCGUAGUUGAAUUUCGGAGUUUGUCGGUUGGUCGGGCUUCACUGUCCGCACUGGCCUGAUGGAUUCCUACCUUCUGAAUAACCAGCAUGCUAUUAAGUUAGUGCGUUGGGGAAGCAGAGCUAUUACCUUGAAAAAAUUAGAGUGCUUAAAGCAGGCUUAUGCUUGAAUAGAUUAGCAUGGAAUAAUAAAAUAGGACGGCAUGGUUCUAUUUUGUUGGUUUCUAGGAUCACCGUAAUGAUUAAUAGGGAUAGUUGGGGGCAUUAGUAUUCAAUUGUCAGAGGUGAAAUUCUUGGAUUUAUUGAAGACUAACUUCUGCGAAAGCAUUUUGCCAAGGAUGUUUUCAUUAAUCAAGAACGAAAGUUAGGGGGAUCGAAGACGAUCAGAUACCGUCGUAGUCUUAACCCAUAAACUAUGCCGACUAGGGAUCGGACGAUGUUAAUUUUUAAUGACUCGUUCGGCG
rnacentral:rRNA from 1 species